UACGAAGGGUGCAAGCGUUACUCGGAAUUACUGGGCGUAAAGCGUGCGUAGGUGGUUCGUUAAGUCUGUCGUGAAAGCCCCGGGCUCAACCUGGGAAUGGCGAUGGAUACUGGCGGGCUAGAGUGCGGUAGAGGAGAGUGGAAUUCCCGGUGUAGCAGUGAAAUGCGUAGAGAUCGGGGAGGAACAUCAGUUGCGAAGGCGGCUCUCUGGACCAGCACUGACACUGAGGCACGAAAGCGUGGGGAGCAAACAGG
rnacentral:rRNA from 1 species